UACCUGCAGCUCAAGUGGUGGCCGCUAUUAUUGGGCCUAAAACGUUCGUAGCCGGCUGAGUAAAUGCUUGGGUAAAUCGUGCCGCUUAACGGUACGAAUUCCGGGUAGACUGCUCAGCUUGAGACCGGGAGAAGCUAGAGGUACUCCUGGGGUAGAGGUGAAAUUCUGUAAUCCUGGGGGGACCACCAGUGGCGAAGGCGUCUAGCUAGAACGGGUCUGACGGUGAGGGACGAAACCCUGGGGCGCAAACCGGAUUAGAUACCCGGGUAGUCCAGGGCGCAAACGCUGCUUGCUUGAUGUUAGCUGGGCUCCGGGCUCAGCUAGUGUCGGAGAGAAGUUGUUAAGCAAGCUGCCUGGGAAUACGAUCGCAAGAUUGAAACUUAAAGGAAUUGGCGGGGAGCACAGCAACGGGUGGAGCGUGCGGUUU
rnacentral:rRNA from 1 species